rnacentral:rRNA from 1 species
UACAGAGGGGGCAAGCGUUGUUCGGAAUUACUGGGCGUAAAGGGCGCGUAGGCGGCCUUCUAAGUCGAACGUGAAAUCCCCGGGCUCAACCCGGGAACUGCGUCCGAUACUGGCAGGCUUGAAUUCGGGAGAGGGAUGCGGAAUUCCAGGUGUAGCGGUGAAAUGCGUAGAUAUCUGGAGGAACACCGGUGGCGAAGGCGGCAUCCUGGACCGAGAUUGACGCUGAUGCGCGAAAGCAUGGGUAGCGAACGGG